UAAUUAUUAGACAUAAAUAACUAUUAUUAACUUAUCAAUAAUGUCAGGGAAUGUUAUAAAGGGAUAUAAGGAUACUGCUUGCUAAAUAAAGCAUUACUGGAACACCGCCAGCAUUAUUGGAACACCUACUGUCUACAGCAUUACCUGAAGUUCGGAACACCUUUCUUCCACCAUCACUGGAACAGCUCCAAUCAAGCUGUGGAAGUCGUGACGCAUCUACCCCUUUUGUGGAAACCCUAUAAUCAGUUUACUGCAUCCAUAGAGAUAAAGAAAAUAAUGCCAUCAAAGAAACUGCCUUCUGUUGAGCCAAAGUCUUGAGAAACCAAAACGGAAUGCAGCAUACAGGGUGAAGUAAACAUCAGAUCAGAGGGAGGCCAGACUGGAAAACGAAAAGAGAAGAAUUGCUGCGUCCUUUGCAGUGGAAGUACCAUGGUGAUGGUCAGAAUAACUUCGAGCCCCAUGAUCUUGUCCUUCUCAAGAACAUCCAAACAGUUUAGAAUUGCUGACACCUACUAGUUCUACAACUGCCUGCAGUUUCUUCUGAUCUACUGGCAAGAAAAUAUGCCACCAAAAACUUCAGGAGCCAAAAGAAUGCAGCAUACAGUGCGGCAAAAACAGCAUAUUGGGAGGUCAGAAUGGAAGCCAAGAUGACAAAAGUUGCUGCAUCCAGAGCAGUGGAAGUACUGAAACAGACGGAAGCCUGACUGGUAGAUCUGAGAACAAGAGUAGCUGCAUACAGAGCAGCAGAAGGACUAGAACAGAGGGAUGCCAGAGGACGAAAACAGCAUACAGGAUGGUGGAAACAUUAGAUUAAGAGGAGGCCAGACUGAAAGCCAAGAACACGAGAACUGCUGCAUCCAGAGCAGUGUAAGUACCAGCAUAGAGGGAGAACAGAUUGUUAGAUCUGAGGAUGACAGUAGCUGUAUCCAGAGUAGCAGAAGAACCAGAACAGGAGGAGACCAGUUUCUGACACAUGAUGGCGACAGUCACAGGAGUCAGAACUCCAAGGAGUUUCGAAAAAAAAACUGCUUUCAAUUACAAGCUGGAUGUCAGUUAACAUGAGCACCCUUGUGUGUCCAUUGGAAAGUUGGACAAUGUUGUCAACACUGCAAUGCAAUCAAGUGGAAAGUGGCUAUGGGACUCUUGCUGCAUAAUGGCUGCAUAAUGGUAAGGUGUCUUUGCCACCUUUGUGGUCAGUCUACCUGAUCCCCUGCAUUCUCAUGUGUCAGGAGAUAUGACCAAUUUACAACUAUUACUUCUAAAUGACGUCAUUUGAUGCAAAGGAAAUGUGCAAGAAAAGCUACAUGUUUACCUUCAAAGUUUCAAGGUCAGGUGUGCCGUGCAGUCUGAAGAUCCUUACUUCCUAUACCAGUCUACUUUAUGGGUGAUGCAACUGCAGAGGUUGAAAGAUCCUUACUUCCUAUACCAGUUUACUUCAAGGGUGAUGCAACUGCAGAGGUUGAAAAGGCUGAAAUGAGAUACCAGGCCAAAAGGAAGGCAUCGUUCUAGAUCUUCAGGAGUUCUUUCACAGGCACCAUUCCUAUGUUGCCAUCUGCAUAACAGCCUUGGACCUCAUGUCUACAGAGAACCGCAAGAUCAGAAUCAGGCCAGAUAAGAAGCCUGAGGGUGAGCACGAAAGAAGUAUAAAUUUCCCAACCUCCAGCGAGGUGGUUGUGAUGAUUGGCAGCAAGAUAUUAGAGCCCUGUGACAUCAUCCUUCACAAGAGAAACAAGACAGUGACUAACGCCCACAUGUCCUAUGACUCCCAGCAGUUACACAUCCUCUGAUCUUCUGAGAAGGCAAGGAUGGCUAUACUAAAACAUUCCUCAGAACAAUCUGGUAAAGGAAAGAAAGUGUAACGUUACAAAGACUACUUUACCUACGGUGUCAUAUUGUGAGCUGGGGCAGAGAAUUUUGAGGUGCCUGCAUGCUAUGACAUGUAUGUCAAAAUUGAGAAAAAGAGGGUUUGCUACAUUUAGAUCACCAGCAGGAAUUUUGAGCCAAUGACGACAUCGACCUCCAAGGUACCAUUGCCAGUGACAUCAAUCCAAGGGAGAGAAGUUACAGGAUGGCGAUGACUGAAAAGACUAGCCAAUUGAGUUGAGAUAAUCCGACCCUGACCAUCAACUUCUGCAAUGUCAUCUACAGGAAGAGUUUGCAGGAGUAAGAGAGUGUUUGGCAAUAAUGGGGGGGGAAAAACCCCUGAAGACUUACUACAGCCGUCCUUCCCCUCCAGAUGAUCCGAAUACCAACCUGCAAUGUCAAGAGGUUCUUCGAAAGACAAGCUUCAGGCACCUCACAAACUCGCCCAGUUUCUUGUGAAAAAGGAACCCAUACUGAUGUUAGACCACCAAAGAACCUAGUACGGGGGAAGCUGAUUCACAAUGAUGGCCAAAUGGGCAGCCUAAUCUUCUGUGCUGGCUGAAGUGGAAAAAGUUUCUUGUUACUCUCAUUCUGGCCACAAAGCUUGCAAGAAGGAAAGAAAAGAAAAGCAGUAGUUAACAGGCGAUUCACUGGCUGGACUGUUUUCCAAGUAGUUUUCCCACCAUGGGAAAUGAUGAGAAGGUCCUGUUGAUGCCCAGAUAAGACAUCGCAUUCCCAGGAAACUUAUGCACCUUGGUCAGCACCCAAGAAAACAUUGGUGACUGCAGUGUUUCCUGACAUCCAUCUCAAAGUACAACUGGCUUUAGGAAAGUGAUUCUGACCUAAAAAAUGUGUGAAGACAUCAACUUGCAGAUCCAGGGAAUGUUGCUUCCCAAUGAAGUAGUCAAAUACCCAACGGAAUUAGCCUGAACUUCUUGGAGCUGUCUGGGUAUCUGCCUCAUGUCCUCUUCCUGAAAGUCAGUACACCAAUCAAUCCUCCUGCUGCUUAAUUAACCUGCACAGUCCCCAGUUGUGAAAUGGGACAUGUCUGAUCAUCAAGAUUUCCCAACAUGGUUGAGCGACCAUUCUAGCUGGAUGUGGAAGAGAAGAUAUCUUGUAUUCAUCUCGCAAAUUUCCUGAUGAUGGUGGACAAUUAGCCAUUCGGAUGUGGAAGAGAAGACGUAUUCAUUCCACGAAUUCCGUCCUGAUGAUCGUGGAUAAUCUCCUGUUCACCUAGGAUUCCUGUCAGGCUUUGCUCUCCACCAUGGUAAUCGCUGUAGGUGGUAGACAUUAUAAACAUCCAUUUGCAAGAGUUAUGCUUCUCACACAUGGUCAGAAAUAAAAAAAAUCUCUAUCUGCCAUAAAACUGAAAUAAUCUAAGUUGCUUUUGAUAAGUAUGAUCUUAUUCAACUGCAACAUUUUAUCCUCAAGAUUAUCCCCGAUGUCAAGCCCACUUUCUGCUAGUUUGGGACAGUGUUUUACACGACUUUUCAAGAAUAAAGAAAGAGUAAGUGCACUAUUAUUGAAAGUGUAUUUCUUUAAUGUAUUGUUUUAAAUAAAUGUUAAUCAAAACCUAU